UGAGUAACACGUGAGCAACCUGCCCCAAGCUUUGGGAUAACCCCGGGAAACCGGGGCUAAUACCGAAUAGGACUUCCGGCCGCAUGGCUGGGGGUGGAAAGUUUUUCGGCUUGGGAUGGGCUCGCGGCCUAUCAGCUUGUUGGUGGGGUGAUGGCCUACCAAGGCGACGACGGGUAGCCGGCCUGAGAGGGCGACCGGCCACACUGGGACUGAGACACGGCCCAGACUCCUACGGGAGGCAGCAGUGGGGAAUAUUGCACAAUGGGCGGAAGCCUGAUGCAGCGACGCCGCGUGAGGGAUGACGGCCUUCGGGUUGUAAACCUCUUUCAGCAGGGACGAAGCGAGAGUGACGGUACCUGCAGAAGAAGCACCGGCCAACUACGUGCCAGCAGCCGCGGUAAGACGUAGGGUGCGAGCGUUGUCCGGAUUUAUUGGGCGUAAAGAGCUCGUAGGCGGCUUGUCGCGUCGACCGUGAAAACUUGGGGCUCAACCCCAAGCCUGCGGUCGA
rnacentral:rRNA from 1 species